rnacentral:rRNA from 1 species
ACGGCUCAGUAACACGUGGACAACCUGCCCAAAGGUCCGGGAUAACCCCGGGAAACUGGGGAUAAUACCGGAUAAAUCACAAGUACUGGAAGGUUUUGUGGUUGAAACUUCCGGGGCCUUUGGAUGGGUCUGCGGCGGAUUAGGUUGUUGCCGGUGUAACGUACCGUCAAGCCUGUAAUCCGUACGGGUUGUGGGAGCAAGAGCCCGGAGAUGGAUUCUGAGACACGAAUCCAGGCCCUACGGGGCGCAGCAGGCGCGAAAACUCUACAAUGCAGGCAACUGCGAUAGGGGAACAUCGAGUGAUACUCAUCUUGGGUGUCUGUCCUCCCGUCUAAAAAACGGGAGUUAGCAAGGGCCGGGCAAGACCGGUGCCAGCCGCCGCGGUAAUACCGGCGGCUCGAGUGGUGGCCGAUAUUAUUGAGUCUAAAGGGUCCGUAGCCGGCUUUGCAAGUCUUUUGGGAAAUCCAGCGGCUUAACCGUUGGUCGUCCGGGAGAUACUACAUUGCUUGGGACUGGGAGAGGUAGGAGGUACUCAGGGGGUAGGAGUGAAAUCCUGUAAUCCUUUGGGGACCACCGGUGGCGAAGGCGUCCUACCAGAACAGGUCCGACGGUGAGGGACGAAAGCUAGGGGCACGAACCGGAUUAGAUACCCGGGUAGUCCUAGCCGUAAACGAUGCUCGCUAGGUGUCACAACAAUCGUGAAUUGUUGUGGUGCCGUAGGGAAGCCGUGAAGCGAGCCACUUGGGAAGUACGACCGCAAGGUUGAAACUUAAAGGAAUUGGCGGGGGAGCAC